UGAGCGACCUACCUAAUUGUGGGGGAUAGCCGGGCCCAAACGGCCGGGUAAUACCGCAUACGAUCGGAGAGGGGCAUCCCUUUCUGAGGAAAGCCUUCGGGCGCAAUUUGAGGGGCUCGCGGCCUAUCAGCUAGUUGGCGGGGUAACGGCCCACCAAGGCGACGACGGGUAGCUGGUCUGAGAGGAUGGCCAGCCACAUUGGGACUGAGAUACGGCCCAGACUCCUACGGGAGGCAG
rnacentral:rRNA from 1 species